UCAGCACACUGGCAGAGUGAGGAGCAGGAUGUUGCUACUUUCUCCGCAGAAUAUUACAGAACACCCUUUAAGCUGCAUUAUUAGUCAUUACUUCACUGGAUGUAAUAGAGAACUAGAGGUUAUUUAGAUCAGGUUUCCAAAGGAGGAACUGGGAUUCCUGGACAACAUAAAUAAAGGGAGUUGUGAUUGAGCAAGAAAAUGUCUGUGCUGGGCCAAAAUGUUGCAUUGGCGUCUGUGGAAGAAAAACUGCCAGUUAGCAGCAUGAGGAGCAACUGCCAGCCUGCAGAUGGAAACAAGGGUGGGUGGCUGGAAGGCUGGAUAAAGGCUGGUGGAUGACUGAACCCGGCGACCUGGUGCAGCUCAUCAUCAUUGCCGGGGGCCUCUCGUCUUCUUCCUUCUCUCCCAUGGCUCCUACCUCCAUCCAGGGGUCUAGCAGAGCCCAGCGAAGCCCAGCCGGGGAGCUAGUGAGUGGGCUGGGAAGGAUGGAGAAGGUCCCUGAAGGCAAGAAUCACCUCUGGAGCUAUCAGUGUGCAAGAGAAAUCAAUAUGAAACACAGAAUCUUCACAGCUUUGAGUGGGGUUUCCUGUGUUUUUAAGUGUGUGGCCUGGAGGGCCUGCAGACCUGCAAAGGACAUCCCCUGCGCGCCUCUCUCAGCUGCAGCCUCGGCUCCUUCUCUGGACCUCAGCCCUGGUCUCUACUGGCUGUGUGUGGUUCUGCUGAAGGGUUUUUCUCCCCAAAUGAUAUCCACAGUUUUGAAAGACUGCUGUGAGGCAAAUUCCUUUCUCUUUUUUUUUCCCCAUCACGAGAUUGACAUAUCCCACCAACCUUCUGCCUCUGGCAACCAGCUUGGAAGCUCUGCCUUUGACUCACUCUCCAUCUUCAGCUCUUCCUCUGUUUAUUCCCCAACUAGUUUUCACAUUUGACAAACAGACACUGCGAUCUUUAUUUUCCACCUCCACUUUUGGCUUGCAGUAUGAAUGAUGAGCUCCAGACAGAUGUCUUUCAAAAGCAGACAUAAUGGAAAAUGAACCCUGAACAUUUUUUUUUCCAUCAUACUUAUUAUUCAAUUUCAGACGGCACAUAUCAUCAUCUGACUGCAAAGCAAAGAGGACUGAAGAUCAGAGAGCACAGAGACCUUUUAUUGGAGACAGUAAAAUG